rnacentral:rRNA from 1 species
UACGUAGGUGGCAAGCGUUAUCCGGAUUUAUUGGGCGUAAAGCGAGCGCAGGCGGUUGCUUAGGUCUGAUGCGAAAGCCUUCGGCUUAACCGAAGAAGUGCAUCGGAAACCGGGCAACUUGAGUGCAGAAGAGGACAGUGGAACUCCAUGUGUAGCGGUGGAAUGCGUAGAUAUAUGGAAGAACACCAGUGGCGAAGGCGGCUGUCUGGUCUGCAACUGACGCUGAGGCUCGAAAGCAUGGGUAGCGAACAGG